rnacentral:rRNA from 1 species
AUUCUCGUACUUUCAGUAUGGAGCUGGGAGCGCCUGCCGGUUGGACGCCCCAAGGAUGUAACGUACAAGACUUGGGACGACAAAUGCGAUGAAUUACGGCUCCCCACUUGGGCUUACAAGUGGGAUGCGGUAUCCGAGAUGACGAGCGAUGUCACUCUAAUGUAUAGGCGGUACACCAACGAGUUGGACAUGAUUAUGGCUGAGCAGGUAAACAUUGACAUGACAUCACUCAUUCUCAUGCUUUUAUGA